CGAAAUUGAAAGGCGGCUUCGGCUGUCACUUAUGGAUGGACCCGCGUCGCAUUAGCUAGUUGGUGAGGUAACGGCUCACCAAGGCAACGAUGCGUAGCCGACCUGAGAGGGUGAUCGGCCACACUGGGACUGAGACACGGCCCAGACUCCUACGGGAGGCAGCAGUAGGGAAUCUUCCGCAAUGGACGAAAGUCUGACGGAGCAACGCCGCGUGAGUGAUGAAGGCUUUCGGGUCGUAAAACUCUGUUGUUAGGGAAGAACAAGUGCUAGUUGAAUAAGCUGGCACCUUGACGGUACCUAACCAGAAAGCCACGGCUAACUACGUGCCAGCAGCCGCGGUAAUACGUAGGUGGCAAGCGUUAUCCGGAAUUAUUGGGCGUAAAGCGCGCGCAGGUGGUUUCUUAAGUCUGAUGUGAAAGCCCACGGCUCAACCGUGGAGGGUCAUUGGAAACUGGGAGACUUGAGUGCAGAAGAGGAAAGUGGAAUUCCAUGUGUAGCGGUGAAAUGCGUAGAGAUAUGGAGGAACACCAGUGGCGAAGGCG
rnacentral:rRNA from 1 species